rnacentral:rRNA from 1 species
UAAUACAUGCAAGUCGAACGCGUCUCCGUUAAUGAUUUUAGGUGCUUGCACUUGAAAGAUUUAACAUUGAGACGAGUGGCGAACUGGUGAGUAACACGUGGGUAACCUGCCCUUGAAGUAGGGGAUAACACUUGGAAACAGGUGCUAAUACCGUAUAACAACCAAAACCACCUGGUUUUGGUUUAAAAGACGGCUUCGGCUGUCACUUUAGGAUGGACCCGCGGCGUAUUAGCUUGUUGGUAAGGUAACGGCCUACCAAGGCGAUGAUACGUAGCCGACCUGAGAGGGUAAUCGGCCACAUUGGGACUGAGACACGGCCCAAACUCCUACGGGAGGCAGCAGUAGGGAAUCUUCCACAAUGGACGAAAGUCUGAUGGAGCAACGCCGCGUGAGUGAUGAAGGGUUUCGGCUCGUAAAACUCUGUUGUUGGAGAAGAACAGGUGUCAGAGUAACUGUUGACAUCUUGACGGUAUCCAACCAGAAAGCCACGGCUAACUACGUGCCAGCAGCCGCGGUAAUACGUAGGUGGCAAGCGUUGUCCGGAUUUAUUGGGCGUAAAGCGAGCGCAGGCGGUUUUUUAGGUCUGAUGUGAAAGCCUUCGGCUUAACCGGAGAAGUGCAUCGGAAACCGGGAGACUUGAGUGCAGAAGAGGACAGUGGAACUCCAUGUGUAGCGGUGAAAUGCGUAGAUAUAUGGAAGAACACCAGUGGCGAAGGCGGCUGUCUGGUCUGUAACUGACGCUGAGGCU